rnacentral:rRNA from 1 species
UACGAAGGGGGCUAGCGUUGUUCGGAUUUACUGGGCGUAAAGCGCACGUAGGCGGAUCGUUAAGACCGAUGUGAAAUCCCCGGGCUUAACCUGGGAACUGCAUUGGUGACUGGCAGGCUUUGAGUGUGGCAGAGGGAGGUAGAAUUCCACGUGUAGCAGUGAAAUGCGCAGAUAUCAGGAGGAACACCGGUGGCGAAGGCGGGUCUCUGGGCCGAUACUGACGCUGAGGAGCGAAAGCGUGGGGAGCAAACAGG